rnacentral:misc_RNA from 1 species
UACGAAGGUGGCAAGCGUUAUCCGGAAUUAUUGGGCGUAAAGCGCGCGCAGGCGGUCUCUUAAGUCUGAUGUGAAAGCCCCCGGCUCAACCGGGGAGGGUCAUUGGAAACUGGGAGACUUGAGUGCAGAAGAGGAGAGUGGAAUUCCACGUGUAGCGGUGAAAUGCGUAGAGAUGUGGAGGAACACCAGUGGCGAAGGCGACUUUCUGGCCUGUAACUGAGGCUGAGGCGCGAAAGCGUGGGGAGCAAACAGG